GACGAACGCUGGCGGCGUGCCUAAUGCAUGCAAGUUGAGCGCUGAAGGUUGGUACUUGUACCAACUGGAUGAGCAGCGAACGGGUGAGUAACGCGUGGGGAAUCUGCCUUUGAGCGGGGGACAACAUUUGGAAACGAAUGCUAAUACCGCAUAAAAACUUUAAACACAAGUUUUAAGUUUGAAAGAUGCAAUUGCAUCACUCAAAGAUGAUCCCGCGUUGUAUUAGCUAGUUGGUGAGGUAAAGGCUCACCAAGGCGAUGAUACAUAGCCGACCUGAGAGGGUGAUCGGCCACAGUGGGACUGAGACACGGCCCAAACUCCUACGGGAGGCAGCAGUAGGGAAUCUUCGGCAAUGGACGAAAGUCUGACCGAGCAACGCCGCGUGAGUGAAGAAGGUUUUCGGAUCGUAAAACUCGGUUGGUAGAGAAGAACGUUGGUGAGAGUGGAAAGCUCAUCAAGUGACGGUAACUACCCAGAAAGGGACGGCUAACUACGUG
rnacentral:rRNA from 1 species